rfam:Triticum aestivum genome assembly, contig: Triticum_aestivum_CS42_TGACv1_scaffold_129367_2BL
AAAACUAGCCAGUCCUUUGGGUAUGAAACCCAUUUGGGCGAGAGUAGUACUAGGAUGGGUGACCUCCUGGGAAGUCCUCAUGAAAUGGUUUCA